rnacentral:rRNA from 1 species
UGGGGAAUUUUGCACAAUGGGGGAAACCCUGAUGCAGCGACGCCGCGUGAUUUAGAAGGCCUUCGGGUUGUAAAAAUCUUUUUUAUGGGAUGAAAAUGACAGUACCAUAAGAAUGAGGUCCGGCUAAAUACGUGCCAGCAGCCGCGGUAAUACGUAUGGACCGAGCGUUGUCCGGAAUCAUUGGGCGUAAAGGGUACGUAGGCGGCCCAGUAAGUUAGAAGUGAAAUAAUAUAGCUCAACUAUAUAAAGCUUUUAAAACUGCUAGGCUUGAGAGAUGGAAGGGAAAGUGGAAUUCCUAGUGUAGCGGUGAAAUGCGCAGAUAUUAGGAAGAAUACCGGUGGCGAAGGCGACUUUCUGGUCAUCAUCUGACGCUGAGGUACGAAAGCGUGGGUAGCAAACAG